UCCAUCACUUCUUUCUAACUUUAAGUUACCACUUUGCUGCUCUUCAGGCAGGGAAAGAAUUGGGAAUGUUUUCAAUGAAUUUCAAGGGUUAAAAACGUUACUGAAUUUUUUCUGUUUCUGGUCAAGAACUUUUCAGAUGCAAAAUGACAUAAAUGAGGAACACUUCACAGGAACAUAUGAUGACACAAACCUGACCAACAAAUGCAAGGAAAGGCUGCAGUGUGAGCCCAGCCUGGUCAAUUGCUUUAACUGACAGAUGUACAGGUUGCACACAGUCAUACAUAUGGUUUUGCAGAACAGGCAGGAGAAUAGUAAGGAGCCCUAAGUGCAAAGGAAACUGACGAAGAGAACUAUGAAUAGCCUCUGUUAGGACCAGGACAGAUAUGUAUAAUUGGGGCUGACAGAAAGAAUUAAAUUUUGAGGAGAAAGGAAAAUCAAGAUGUUACCAUAUUGAAGCUAAACUAGUGCUUGGGUCCACAGAGUGAGAGCUGGUAAAAGCACAACUCAAAAAAAAAAGCACCACAGACCUGUUUAUCGUACUUGUUUAGGGUUGAGGCUAUUAGAACAAUUUGUUUCGACUUUGUUUUAUGUAAAUAAUGUAUUAACUAAGAAAAUCAGUAUUCUGACACGUAUAAUUUAUGAAAAUACUGAAGAGUUGGAAAUAUAAAUAGGAAUGCCAUAUAGAAAGCUUCUCAAAUAUCUAAAUGCCACUGAGUUUUCUUGAGAGGGUCCAGUUUAUUUGCCAGUAAUAACCAGUUCCUAAAGAUUCAGCCUCCGGGUAAAAGCUCUCUGCUUGAGAGCUGGCUUCAAAGAAGCUUUGCUUGUCCCCAGUGCCCAUUUAAUGCUUGGGAAAUAUAUUCUGUUAUUUCAGAAUACACUGCAUACAUUCAUGGAUUCAUUUUGUCACCAAUGCCACAUGGUGUGUCACACCUUUGUCCAGUUGUGAUUAUGUGAGACUGCACAGUGCUCAUCCACAGCCCGCACUGAGCUCUUAAAACUUACUUUUGAUAUUUCAAGAAAAGGUCCCUCCCUACUCAGUCUCCUACAGAUUUCAUAAUUUUAUGGAUUCUCCUUGUUCUGAGCACAGGAUCAGGAGGAAGAUCCUUCUCUUUUGGAACUGUUUUGCCCCAUGUUCUUCAGGUUUCUCAUUCAAUUUCUUCUGGGUUUUCCCACUAUUUGCAGUGCUGGUGCCAGAUCGUGCACCUGCAGCUUUGGCACUACUGCAUUUUCAUCCGGAGAGUGUGUUCCUUAGUGUUCUGUGAAAACCAAGAGCACUUUAAAACAUCUUUAAAAGAGCUUUCGUAAGACAAUAGGAAUCUGCUCUUGUGAAAAGCAAAGGAGGCCAGCAACACAUGGGGAUAUGUUAGGAGAAGUGAGUGCAAACCCCUCAGUCCUGGUGAAGCUGUCCUGCAGAACGACGUCCAGUUCUGGGCUCUGCAGCACAAGAGGAGCAGGGAGCUUCCAUGGAAAAUGCAACCAAAUGACACAAAGAUGGGGAGGCAUCUCAACUCUCAAGCAUUUCCUUCUAUGAGGAAAGACUGGGAGAGCUGGAACUGUCCAGCCAGCAGAAGAGAAGGCUAAUGGGGCAUUUCAUCAAUGUAUAUGAAUACCUGAGGGGAGGCUGAGAAGAAAACAAGGGCUUCUUAGUGGUACCAUUGGUGGAACACAAGGCAAUAGCUGCUCACAUUGCUGAGAGAGGUUGUGGAGUCUUCGUCUCUGGAGAUAUCCAAAACCCAACUGGACCUGACCCUGACCAACCUGCUAAAGGUGAUCUUUGCUUGAGAAGGGGAGUGUGCUGAGCAAUUCCAGAUUCUUUGUGUGAAUACAAGUACAGUGGAGGUGGUAGAAGCAGUCAUAACCUAUUACCUUGUUCUUUUCUAAGUCUGACUUACACUUCCAGUAUAGUAGCAUUUCAUUCCAAUACCUUGAGUACCUUUUGAAUCCCAAAAGCCAUACAGACCUGCAUUAGGUCUUGAUUCAAAAUAGUGCAUGGAUAGGUUGGUUUUUUUUUCUUUGGAUAUGUAUGUUUAAAUAGAUUCAAAUAAACUUAUUCACUAAAUUCUGAAAGCACAUUUUGUAUAGCUAAAAAUUUGGACUAAUCCAAUUUU